UUAUUCCAGUGAAAUGAGGAACUGAGUCAGGAAUAAAGGGACACGCUUGAAAUGAAUGGACUAUUUGCUAGCUACGAGGAGUAUUGUUUUACCUUAUUUUGUGUGCUUAUAGUUUAAGAAAAUAUCUACUCAGCCAUUUAUCUGCUUUGGAAAAACUUUUAAAAGUUAAAAAAAAAUUGUCAUAAUAACCUUAAACUACAUCCUGUCAUGACUCCUCAUCUGUCUGAGUUUGGGACUGAGUGAGUGUGUUUUGUGUGUGCUUGGUGUGUUUUUAUUCUGUUUUUCUUCCCUCCCUUCUCUCAGUUUUUUGAGUUUCCUGAGUUGACACUAGCUGCACCUGCUGGCAAUCAGGCACCUGUUCCUGAUCAGCCAUCCCUACCUCUUCUUAAGGAGAGACCAGACUUCCAUUCCCUGCCGGAUUGUUAAGUUAUAUACCAUUGCCAGCUCUACCUGCUCAGCCUCUCACCAGUUCCAAGUCUCUCAAAGCCAAGAUCCAACCCUCCCAGCCACACUCCAGCCAGCCACGCCAGCCAGCCCUCACGUUCCUACAGCUCGGAAGGAGACUCCCUGCAACCUCACCCUGCCUAGUUUGCUCACCCUGCCUCAAUCAAUAAACUGUUUAACUGCUGAA